rnacentral:lncRNA from 1 species
CCUGCUGUCGUCUGGGGCACGGACACCAUCCGUGUCACGUUGUUCCGCUUGACAUCGGCCCUGGAGUCUUCCUAUAGGGGAACAUGAAGACAUCGGUUCAGUUGCCUGUUUCCGCAGCUAUUCCUUGUCACACUCAACGCUGCUUCAGCUGUUCAUGGGACAGCAUAAAAAUACACCUUCCACACUCUGUCUCAGGAUGUUUAACUGCAGUCAGGGAAAGGCUGCAUUUUCAGAAAGACUCUGGCAGGUCUGAACACCCAUUGGCCACACUGGUGCAUGGGGUGCCUGAAAACAGGUGCAAACCCGACUCUUCACCUCCCAGAGUCAGAUUAGAAUUGGAGGCCAGUCUGCUGUUCUAUUAGUGAAUCCUGGGAAGGCCUCUUAGCUUUAAGGGGUGUGUGUGUGUGUGUGUGUAUGUGUGUCCAUUUUUUUUAAUUAAAAAAGUAUUUUAGUUGACACAUUAUUAUGGAUAUGAUUUGAUGUGUUGAUAAAUGCAUCUGUUUCAUGGGGAAGGGGGUGUGGGAAGGAGACGGGACAGGGAGGAUAGGGAGAUGUUGGCCAACAGGUACAAAAUGACAAUCAGAGAGGAGGAAUGAGCUCUGGUUUUCUCCUGCACAGUGGGGUGACUGUUUUCCAAUACUGUAUUGCAUAUUUCAAAAUAGCUAGAAGAGAAGAUUUGAAUGUUCUCACCACAAAGAAAUGAUACAUCUGGGGUGACAGCCAUGCGAACUAUCCUGAUUUGAUCAUUUUACAUCAAGGCCACUUUUGUUGGGACCCGAACCAAGCCCUGAGGUUUGAGACUUGGUCACUGGAAUACCUUGUGCUGGGCAAGUUCCCCGGGGUUCUUCUCAUUUGGUCUUUUCAGUUCUGUCCAAUCCAGAAACUUUUCUUUGAACAAAAUCGUCUCAUUGUGUUCAGUAAGUCUCCCAAAUAUCGCCCAGUCGGGCCGCCCCUGUCCUUUUCUGUAGGGUGGGAAGGGGGUUGGGAGAACAGACAGGAAAAGAACCAAGAUGAAGCCAAGCUUAAACAAAGGAAUCUAAAACACAUGCGGCUGCUGGAAAAAACCUCAAAACCCAUCUUCGGUUGUGAAUCUGGCCUGGGAUGCAGCCACCUCUUAGAGCAACCCCCGCUGCUGCUUGUGCCCUGCUGUGCUACUGCCUCAGUCACUUCCUGCUUGGUCAAGACCACAGCUGCUGAUGUCACAGCUGAGGCACAUCAAAAAGGCUGCCUGAUUCAAAGAAAGCUGCCGGAUAAAUCAUAGAGCACAGACACUUCUACCUCAUGCUCUUAUGGGACUUUAGGAACCAAACAUAAGCACCUAUGGAAAAUGCACGGUGGUCUUGAAAGGCUGUGUGGUCUUUAUCAGAAAAUAUCUGAAUGACUGUCUCUUAUGUCAGUCCUACUCUGCAGGCUUGCUAAGAUGAUAAUUGAAAGGGCUUUUGGUUUCUGCUUUAGAAUCUGUCACUUAUGUUUUGAAGCGUUGUGAGCAAGCGAUGCAGCAGAUUGCAGGGUGAGGGGGAUGAACCUGGGCCAGAAGCCAGAUGUGUUUCUCCACGCACUGCCCUGACCUACAGCCGGAACUGGGCUCAGUGGUUUCAGCCUCAUUUGCUAAGAAGGGCUGGGUAUAAAGACAUAAACAUCAUCUGCUGCCAAAUAAAUCCUGGAAUUCGAGGGCGAUGCUGGGAAGGUAUGAAAUUAGAGGGAGGCAUGUUGCUUUUGCACUUUCAGAUCAAUGGCUGAAUUCCAGACCCGGGGAAGCCUUUCAGAUCCGCAUGUAAUUUGUUUAAACAAUUGCUGUUCAUCUGCCACAGCAGCACUUGGAAUGCCGCAGGGAGGAACUUGCAGCAUUUCUUGCUCACUUCAAGAAAUCAACUAUAACAAACCUCUUCUGGAAGACGACAGCAUCCAUAUUUCUAUAAUAGUUAGAUAAAAGUUAAAGAACUGUUCCUUUUGUGAAUAUUCACAGUCCACUGCAUAUAAUCGUUUAUGAAAACUGAACCCUAUAAAGAGCGAGAGUAGAGGACUGUGGUGAGAACAGAGGGAUCGAAGGGAAUCAGCUCGCUCAGGGAGCCGUCCCAAGGUGGGGGCAGUAGUACCUGCGGAUAAGCGGAUUGCAUUCUCCAGGAUCCAGGGGAUUAAUGUCACAGUUCUCAUAGUCAAAGGUUCCAUUCCAUAAGUGCUUUGCCAGCUGAAAUUCUAUUUUUCGUUGUGCUAACGUGACUUCUUUCCCAUGCCAUACGUAAACUUCACUACCAAAAUCAAACACCAGUACCUGGGAGAAAUGGCACAAAAGAAUUUGUUAACUUCAAGAACAUGCAACAGUUGAAUCAGGUGCAACAGGGUCUCUGUUGACAGUGAGUCAAACGGAGGAAGACAGAAAUCCUAAUGGGGUGACCAGCACAGACACAAAAAGGCCAGGAGAUCUCAGCUGGCACUGCCCCACCGAGCCAGCCUCUGCCCUGUGGGCACGAUUCCUCCUCCCAGUGUCCUAAGUGGCCAGGAUAAUGUUCCCUCCUCUGAACUCUCAACCUGCUUACAACUUGCGAUUCACAAGAGUUCUUUAGGUACAUCUUCCUGUCGACUUCCUGCCUCUCUCCCCUAUUCCUCCCCCUCUCAUGUGCUCGUUCAUUCACUUAAUAUAUACACAGAGGCCACUUCAUAUACCCCAGGCACUCAUGGUCCAAUGGUGUCUUCUCUCCAGUACACAAUUCCAA